GACGAACGCUGGCGGCGUGCUUAACACGUGCAAGUCGAGCGGAAAGGCCCUUCGGGGUCCUCGAGCGGCGAACGGGUGAGUAACACGUGAGUAACCUGCCCCAGACUUUGGGAUAACCCUCGGAAACGGGGGCUAAUACCGGAUACGACACAGCUUCGCAUGGGGUCUGUGUGGAAAGUUUUUCGGUUUGGGAUGGGCUCGCGGCCUAUCAGCUUGUUGGUGGGGUGAUGGCCUACCAAGGCGACGACGGGUAGCCGGCCUGAGAGGGCGACCGGCCACACUGGGACUGAGACACGGCCCAGACUGCUACGGGAGGCAGCAGUGGGGAAUAUUGCACAAUGGGCGGAAGCCUGAUGCAGCGACGCCGCGUGAGGGAUGACGGCCUUCGGGUUGUAAACCUCUUUCAGCAGGGACGAAGCGUAAGUGACGGUACCUGCAGAAGAAGCGCCGGCCAACUACGUG
rnacentral:rRNA from 1 species